rnacentral:rRNA from 1 species
GGGUCAGUAGGUUGGUCGUGCCACCGGUACGUACUGGUCUCACUGAUUCCUCCUUCCUGAAGAACCGUAAUGCCAUUAAUUUGGUGUUGCGGGGAAGCAGGACUGUUACUUUGAAAAAAUUAGAGUGUUUAAAGCAAGCUAACGCUUGAAUACAUUAGCAUGGAAUAACGAAAUAGGACGAUCGAUCCUAUUUUGUUGGUUUCUAGGAUUGACGUA